GAUGAACGCUGGCGGCGUGCUUAACACAUGCAAGUCGAACGAAGCACUUUAUUUGAUUUCCUUCGGGACUGAUUAUUUUGUGACUGAGUGGCGGACGGGUGAGUAACCCGUGGGUAACCUGCCUUGUACAGGGGGAUAACAUUUGGAAACGGCUGCUAAUACCGCAUAAGCGCCCAGCAUCGCAUGAUGCAGUGUGAAAAACUCCGGUGGUAUAAGAUGGACCCGCGUUGGAUUAGCAAGUUGGUGAGGUAACGGCCCACCAAGGCGACGAUCCAUAGCCGACAUGAGAGGCUGACCGGCCACACUGGGACUGAGACACGGCCCGGACUCCUACGGGAGGGAGCAGUGGGGAAUAUUGCACAAUGGGCGAAAGCAUGAUGCAGCGACGCCGCGUGAGCGAAGAAGUAUUUCGGUAUGUAAAGCUCUAUUAGCAGGGAAGAUAAUGACGGUACCUGACUAAGAAGCACCGGCUAACUACGUG
rnacentral:rRNA from 1 species